CUUUUAGGGUUAACAAAAGUUAUUUUUAAUUCAACCUAUCAAUGUUCCAAAUACUGAUUAGAGAAAAAGAAAUAGAAAAAUCCACCAGUAGGCCCACUAGAUCGAUAUGAAUAUGUGAGAAACGUGAAGUAGGAAGGGGAAUCUGGAUGGGUGUUGAUCUAGUAUGUCGGUCGAUUUUUAUGCAUUGCCGAGCACAGAGUUUAAUAUCCUUAUUCAUCCCAUUCCAGACAUAUUUUUUUUGUUAUAAGUUUAACGGAAAAACGAGCUGAUGGAUGUGAUAACAAAUGAAUAAUAUCAAAUACUGGCCUUUCCAAAGACUGAGGAAUUACCAGGCGGAGAGUAGAGCCAGAAAUAUUAGAUAAAAUCACAAUCGGUGUGUUUGAAGAACCAAAAUCUACCUCAGAUAAUUUAAGUUUGGGUUUACUUGUGCAGAAGGAGGACAUUUCAUCUUGAGCUUCGGAUUGAGCAAGAUUCAGAUACUGAAUGUCAAUCGAAGAGAUGUGUUGAAUAUCUGUGGUGUAUAUGAAUACUGUGUCUUUGUUGACGUAUGUGCCAUGGAUCCGAAACUUUAGCGAAAGCAAAUGUCAAAGGUUUGGGAUCUGUUUAGACAGUGAAUUUAAGUUAAUUCUGUAAAUGCUUCUGACACGGUGAUUGGGGGCGUUUUAGAACAACUUCCAAACGUUAGAAUAUCGAGGAUGGAGAUCGAUACCAAAACAACACGAAUCGCCAGUGUUUGUCUGUUAAACUUCCGACGUUUUUUUUUACCAAACAGCCUUCGUUAUGGUUUGCUCAAGCUGAACGUCAGUUUUGAUUCUGAGGUAUAACACAAGAGGAAACGAAAUAUGACUAUGUCUGCUUGUCACUGGAGGAUAUAUAUUCCACGUCAAAUCGAUCACUCGUCACACAGCAACAUUUCCGAUUUUUUGAAAAUUUUGCAUAUAGCUUAAUAUUAAAUAGAAACUCAAAAAUCUAAAAUUUUAGUUUUCUUUGACCUCCAUAUCAGGAGUUAGAGGCUCCUAAAGUUCAAGGCUUGAGGCCAGUACCCAUGUUUUUAAGCAGCUAUUUCUCUUGUGUUUUUAAUGAUAUCGAUCUAAUUUAAACGUAAUUGGAUAGAUAUUUACCCAAUAAUUUUCCUAUAUUUUAUACUUUUACCCAAUAAAUCUUUGCCAUUAAGGUCA
rnacentral:lncRNA from 1 species